GUGCGUGGCGUGUCCGCUGGACCAGGGGACGGGGGCGCGCCGCAGGUGUAGGAGCUUUGCGCGCCUACCUGGCGGUCGUGGGUCGAGGAGGGGUCAAGAAUUGUUGUCUAGCAGCCCUCUCCCCGCUGCCCUGUCCUGGCCGAGGCAAAGGCCGCGUGCGCUCCGCGUCUGCCAGGCUUUAGGGCUGCGCGGACACUGGGUGGGUGGUGGGCCGAGGCGACCGGAAGGUCCUGGCCGCCUUUCCGGUCUCCUCAGCACCCUGGAGCGCCGCCCUCGGGUUUCGGUCUCCUGGAUCUGCGGGUCGGUCUCGGCGGGCGGAUUACUCCUCGCCCACAACCUCGAGGCCCCGGGGUCAACCGCGCCCUCCGGGCCGGCAACCCAGGGUUUAGUCAGAUUCCUCCUGACCCACCGCUUCUGGGAAAGAGGCGCCUCCCGUCAGGAGGAUGCUGAGUUCCUCAUGACUGGACCAGUGAGUGUCCACUCCCUGGUCCCUGGCGAGAGAGGCGGGACCCCCACGCCCUCCUGGCGCUCUUUGCAGAGAUGUUCCUCAGGCCCAAUCCGGGAUUUGGGAUGUCUGUGCGUGCUGUGGAGCAGAGAGUUUGCAACAUGGUCUCACUUUGUCACCCAGGCUGGAAUGCAUUGGCAUGAACACGUCUCACUGCAGCCUCAACCUCCCAGGCUGAAGUGACCCUCCAACUCUGCUUUCACAGUAGCUGUGAUAUGGUUUGGCUGUGUCCCCACCCACAUCUCAUCUUAAAACCCAGUGGGAGGUAAUUGAAUCAUGGGGGCAAGUCUUUCCUGUGCUGUUCUUGUGAUAGUGAAUAAGUCUCAUGAGAUCUGAUGGUUUUUAAAAGAGUUCUGGCUGGGCAUGGUGGUGGGCACCUGUAAUCCAAACUACUAGGGAGGCUGAGGCAGAGUGAAUUGCUUGAACCUGGGAGAAGGAGGUUGCAGUGAGCCGAGAUUGCACCGCUGCACUCCAGCCUGGGCAAAAUUGAAGACUCUGUCUCCAAAAAAAAAAAAAAGGAGUUCCUCUGCAUAAGCUCUCUCUCUUUGCCUGCUGCCAUCCAUGUAAGAUGUGACUUGCUCUUCCUUGCCCUAUGAUUGUGAGUCUUUCCCCAGCCACGUGGAACUGUAAGUCCAAAUAAACCUCUUUCUUUUGUAAAUUGCCCAGUCUUGGGUAUGUCUAUCAGCAGCAUGGAAAUGGACUAAUACAGUAAAUUGGUACCAGUAGAGUGGGGUGUUGCUGAAAAGAUACCUGAAAAUGUGAAAGUGACUUUGGAACUGGGUAGCAGGCAAACAUUGGAACAGUUUGGAGGGCUCAGAAGAAGACAGGAAAAUGUAGGAAAGUUUGGAACUUCCUAGAGACUUGUUGAAUGGCAUUGACAAAAAUGCUAAUAGUGAUACGAACAAUAAGAUCCAGUCUGAGGUGGUCUCAGAUGGAGAUGAGGAACUUGUUGGGAACUGGAGCAAAGGUGACUCUUGUUAUGUUUUAGCAAAGAGACUGGUGACAUUUUGCCCCUGCCCGAGAGAUUUGUGGAACUUUGAACUUGAGGGAGAUGAUUUAGGGUAUCUGGUGGAAGACAUUUCUUUUUUUUUUUUUGUGACGGAGUCUUGCAUUGUCGCCUGGGGUGGAGUGCAAUGGUCUGAUCUCAGCUUACUGGGUUCAAGCAAUUCUGUCUCAGCCUCCCGAGUAGCUGGGAUUACAGGCGUCCGCCACCACGCCCUUCUAAUUUUUUGUAUUUUUAGUAGAGACGGUUUCACUAUGUUGGCCAGUGGAAGACAUUUCUAAGCAGCAAAGCAUUCAAGAGGUGGCUUGGGUGUUGUUAAAGGCAUUCUGUUUUGACUGGGUGCGGUGGUGCACACCUAUAAUCCCAGCACUUUGGGAGGCCGAGGAGGGUGGAUCAAGAGGUCAGGAGUUCAAGACCAGCCUGGCCAAUAUGGUGAAACCCUGUCUCUACUGGAAAUACAAAAAUUAGCUUGGCAUGGUGGUGUGCGCCUGUAGUCCCAGCUUCUCGGGAGGCUGAGGCAGGAGAAUCGCCUGGACCCGGGAGGUGGAGGUUCCAUUGAGCCAAGAUCAUGCCACUGACUCCAGCCUGGGCAACAGACUGAGACUCUGUCUCAAAAAAAAAGAAAAAAAAAAAGGCAUUCAGUUUUAUAAGGGAAGCAGAGCAUAAAAGUUUGGGAAAUUUGCAGCCUGACAAUGUGAUAGUAAAGAAAAUCCCAUUUUCUGAGAGGAAAUUCAAGCUGGCUGCAAAAAUUUGCAUAAGUACCAAGGAGCCGAAUGUUAAUAUCCAAGACAAUGGGGAAAAUAUCUCCCAGACAUGUCAGAGGUCUUCAUGGCAGCCCCUCCCAUCAACAGGUCCAGAGGCCUAGGAGGAAAAAGUGGUUUUGUGGGCAGCACCCAGGGUCCCCAUGCUAUGUGCAGCCUAGGGACUUGGUGCCGUGCGUCUCAGCUCCUCCAGUGGUGACUGAAAGGGGCCAACAUAGAGCUCGGGCUGCUGCUUCAUGGGGUGGAAGUCCCAAAUCUUGGCAGCUUCCAUGUGGUGUUGAGCCUGCGAGUACAUAGAAGUCAAGAAUUGGGGUUUGGGAACCUCCAUCUAGAUUUCAGAAGAUAUAUGGAAAUUCCUGGAUGCCCAGGCAGAAGUUUGCUGUAGGGGUGGGGCCUUCAUGGAGAACCUCUGCUAGAGCAGUGCAGAAGGGAAAUGUGGGGUCGGAGCCCCCACACAGAGUCCCCGCUGCGGCCCUGCCUGAUGGAGCUGUGAGAAGUGGACCACCGUUCUCCAGACCCCAGAAUGGUAGAUCCACCGACAGCUUGCACCGUGUGCCUGGAAAAGCUGCAGACACUCAAUGCCAGCCUAUGAAAGCAGCCUGGAGGGAGGCUUUACCCUGCAAAGCCACAGAAGUGGAGCUGCCCAAGACCAUGGGAAUCCACCUCUUGCAUCAGUGUGACCUGGAUGUGAGACAUGGAGUCAAAGGAUAUCAUUUUGAAGCUUUAAGAUUUGACUGCCCUGCUGGAUUUCAGACUUGCAUGGGUCCUGUAGCCCCUUUGUUUUGGCCAAUUUCUCCCAUUUGGAAUGGCUAUAUUUACCCAAUGCUUAUACCACCAUUCUAUCUAGGAAGUAAAUAACUUGCUUUUGAUUUUACAGGCUCAUAGGCAGAAGGGAUUUGCCUUGUCUCAGAUGAGACUUUGGACUGCGGACUUUUGAGUUAAUGCUGAAAUGAGUUAAGACUUCGGAGGACUAUUGGGAAGGCAUGAUUGGUUUUGAAAUGUGAGGACAUGAGAUUUGGGAGGGGCCAGGGGUGGAAGGAUACGGUUGGGUUCUGUGUCCCCACCCAAGUCUUAUCUUGUAGCUCCCAUAACCCAUGUGUCUUGGGAGGGACCUGGUAAUUCAAUCAUGUGGGCUGGAUGCGGUUGCUCAUGCCUGUAAUCCCAGCACUUUGGGAGGCCAAGGGGGAGAUCACUUGCGAUCAGGAGUUUGAGACCAGCCUGGCCAACAUGGUGAAACCCCAUCUAUACUAAAAAUACAAAAAUUAGCCAGGCACGGUGGUGGGCACCUGUAAUCCCAGCUACUUGGGAGGCUGAGGCAUGAGAAUCACUUGAACCUGGAGGCGGAGGUUGCAGUGAGCCGAGAUCGCACCACUGCACUCCAGCCUGGGCGUCAAAGUGAAACUUAGUCUUAAAAAAAAAAAAAAAAAGAAGAAUGGGAGUGGGUCUUUCCUGUGCUGUCCUCAUGAUAGAGAAUAAGUCUUACAAGAUCUGAUGGUUUUAAAAAUGAGAGUUAUUUCUCUCUUCUCUUGUCUGCCACCAUGUGAGUCAUGCCUUUCACCUUCCACCAUGAUUGUGAGGCCUCCCCAGCCACGUGGAACUGUAAGUCCAAUAAACCUCUUUCUUUUUUUUUUUUUUUUUUUUUUUUUUUGAGACGGAGUCUCACUCUGUUGCCCAGGCUGGAGUGCAGUGGCGCGAUCUCGGCUCACUGCAAGCUCCGCCUCCCAGGUUCACGCCAUUCUCCUGCCUCAGCCUCCCGUGUAGCAGGCAUUGUCACAGGCGCCUGCCACCACACCCACCUAAUUUUUUUGUAUUUUUAGUAGAGACGGGGUUUCACCGUGUUAGCCAGGGUGGUAUCGAUCUCCUGACCUUGUGAUCCGCCCACCUUGGGCUCCCAAAGUGUUGAGAUUACAGGCGUAAGCCACUGCACCCGGCAAUAAACCUCUUUCUUUUGUAAAUUGCCCAGGUAUGUCUUUAUCAGCAGCAUGAAAAUGGACUCAUACAAUGAUCCAUUACCUAGGGUAAAAUUCUCCUGAAUGUCAAACAGAGAUAAACUACAUUUGGGUUUUGGGUAAGUCCCCUGUAAUGAUGAAUCAAGAAUCCUCAAGUCUGUCUUGCCACCCAUUUAAUACGUAUUUUUGUUAAGGCUGAAGUUUAGAGUUAGAAUCAGGACAUUUUGGCCUAUUGAGAGGUUCUGAAUUCCAACAGAAGAUGCCAUGUAAAUCAGUGAAUUUGAUUCUUUUAAAAGCAACUUACAAAAUUUACAAGAUGUAUUCAAUAAAGCAGUUUAGCUUUGGUAUAUCAAACCUUAUAAUGAACCAUUUUUCCCACUUCAUCUUAUGCAAUGUUUAAUAUUUUCUAUUUUUGUCAAGGAUAUUAAACCUACACCUGGAAACAUAUUAAAUGCCAACUUAAAAUGUGAGAAGUUUGGCAGAACUCAGACCCAUUCUUCCAAUUUCCAAGCUGUUUAAUCACACUGAUUCAGACACUCUGGAUAGCAGCUGGGAUUGUAGUUAUCUUUAUGCUUUGAGCUCUCUAGUUUUGUCUACACAUCUUAUAAAAUAUCCCCUCCUCAUUCUCCUCUAGCUGGAACACUAACCCAAUGGAUGUUGUGGUGAACUUUCUUUGACCAGGCAGAGAAGUGCAGCAUUGGGUGGACCAUGCACAACCAGUUUGAGAAGCACUGCUCUAGGGGUUGGGGGAGCAACAAUAGAAAGAGUGUAGGUUCUGAAUACCUGAAGCAUACAUUUUAGCUCUAGACUGCUUAUAUUGUUGUUACAUGAAAGAGAACUUUUAAUCUGGUUUAAACCACUGGAUCUCUUUAUUCCAGCAAGUGAAUCUAUAUCCAACUAAUAUUUACUCCCAGUCUGUUCUUUCUCACCCCUCUUUCCCUUACUAUAAACCUUUUCUAUAUCAAUUUAUAUCAUUAGUUGCUCAGCCCACAAACCAGAUGUCACUUUUGUUUUCUCUUUUCCUUCCCAUUCAUAGCCAGGCCAUCGUUGUGACUUAUUGGCUGUACCUCCAAAAUAUAUCCCAGAUCUGAUCUCUUCUUAUAAUUUGUACUGCUACAACCUUAGUCAAAGCCACUAAUAUCUCUUAUCUGAACUCCAGUGGUUUACUAGUUUUCUGCCUCUCUUCUUGACACAAUUCAUCUUUCUACAUAGCAGCCAGAGUAAGAUAAAAUCAUAAAUCAGAUCAUAUAACUUCUACCCCCUGUACCAAUGGCUAUCUUUUAUACUCAGAAUAAAAUCCAAAACCUUUAUUUGGCUUCCAAGAUCCUACAAGAUAGAGACCUUACUUCUCAUCUUGUACCCAUCAUUUGAUCUUCAGUCCCUUGAAAAUGCCAAGUCUAUUUCCAUUUCAGGGCCUUUGUGCUUGUUACUAUUGUUUCUUUUCUCUUGGAAAACUGCCCAGAUCUUUCCUUAGCUGAAUUAUUCAGAUCCCAACUCAAAUAUCAUCUCUUUAGAAAAUUCUUUCAGAACCAGGUGUGGUGGUGCACACCUGUAAUCUCAGCUACUCGAGUGGCUGAGGCUGAUGGAUUUCUUGAGCCCAGAAGUCUGAGGCCAGCCUGGGCAAUAUAGCAAGAUCCUGUCAAAAAGAAAAAGGUAUCUCACCAUGAUUAUAUUUUAAUUUCCCUUCAGCAAUUAGAAGUCCCUGAAAUUAAUUUACCUUAUUUGUUGGCAUUUGUUGGCAUUGUGCAAGUAAUGCUUGCACCCAGGAGGCAGAGUUUGCAGUGAGCUGAGAUCACGCCACUGCACUCUAGCUUGGGCAAUAGGGCGAGACUGAGUCUCAAAAUAAAUAAAUAAAUACAUAAAAUAAUUUUAGAGACAGAGUCUUGCUCUGUUGCCCAGGCUGGAGUGAAGUGGUGGGAUCUCGGCUUACUGCAACCUCUGCCUCCUGGGUUCAAGCGAUUCUCCUGCCUCAGCCUCCUGAGUAGCUGGGAUUACAGGCGUGCACCACCACGCCUGGCUAAAUUUUGUAUUUUUAGUAGAGAUGGGGUUUUGCCGUGUUGGUCAGGCUGGUCUCGAACUCCUGACCUCUGAUCUGCCCACCUCGGCCUUCCAGAGUGCUGGGAUUACAGGCAUGAGCCACCAUGGGCCCACAAAGCUAUUUUACUUAGCAUUUUUUUUCCCGAGGCUAAAUUGGGAACUACUGACAAUACUAUUGACAAUACUAAAUAUAUUUUUAAAUUAUUUUACUUAUUUUUGAGACAGGGUCUCACUGUGUCACCCACGCUGUAGUGCAGUGAACCAUCACCACUCACUGCAGUCUCACCCUUCCUGAACUCAGGUGAUCCUCCCACCUCAGCCUCCUGAGUAGCUGGGACUACAGGCAUGCACCACCAUGCCUGGCUAAUUUUUAAAAUUUUUUGUAGAGAUGGAGUUUCGCCAUGUUGCCCAGGCUGGUCUCAAACUUCUGGGUUCAAGUGAUGCAAGUGUCUCAGCCUCCUAAAGUGCUAGGAUUACAGGCGUAAGCCACUAUGCCCAGCCUUUUAUUUUAUUUUAUUUUAUUUAUUUAUUUUUUGAGACAGAGUCUUGUUCUGUUGCCCAGGCUAGAGUGCAGUGGUGCAAUCUCAGCUCACUGCAACCUCUGCCUCCCAGGUUCAAGCGAUUAUCAUGUCUCAGCCUCCCUAGUAGCUGGGAUUACAAGUGUGCACCACACGCGGCUAAUUUUUGUAUUUUUUGUAGAGGCAGAGAGGCAGGGUUUUAUUAUGUUGGCCAAGCUGGUCUUGAACUCCUGGCCUCAAGUGAUCUGCUCACCCCGGCCUCCCAAAGUGCUGAGAUUACAGGUGUGAGCCACCAUGCCCACCAACCUAUUUUUUAUUUUAAAAAAUUGACAGCAUACUAAAUGUUUGUAAUGCAAAUGAUAAAAUUGCUACAAUGAAAACAAGAAGUUGAGAAUUAGAUGAAGAGUUGAUUAAGGGAACUAUGAGUCACUGUGUUAGAGCAUGUAUAUUAUGAAAAUUAUAGCAGAAGUGAUAAAGGGUGACAAUUGUUACCUAUCUUCAAUCAAAAGCUCUUUGAAUAUCUUUCUUUUUUUUAAUUUUAUGAAUUUUUUUUACAGAGACAGGGUCUCACUAUAUUGCCCAGGUUGGUCUCGAACUCCUGGGCUCAAGGGAUCCUCUUGCCUUGGCCUCACAAAGUACCUGGAUUACAGGCAUGAGCCACAGUGCCUGGCCCUCUUUGAAUAUCUUUAAUGCUUUUAGAGAUUAGCAUCAGAGAAUUAUUAAUACUAGAGGGCACAAGGAAUUAGCCAUUGCCAGUGGACACCUACAUAGGUGUGACUAUGUGACUCAGUUUUAAAAAUGUGACACAAUGAAAAAAUUCCUUGGAUGUUAUGGAGGACGAAAAUUUUGUAAGUCCUAUCCAUUCUUUAAUGGAGAAACUAAAAUUUACAAUAUUACUUUAUUUAGCCCAAGAUUUUCUUAAGCUUUGUAUUUUCUAAUUCAGCUUUGGCUUACAGAAUCAUGCUUGAAGUUUGAGACUGCCAGCUUUCAACAGGCAGUUACUAGUGAAACUCUUUGGAAAGAUGAGAAGAUGUUGACAUAAGUGUAAUGUGAGACAAAGCAAAGUAAAAUGUAAUUUUUAAGAAAAUGUUGCCGGGUGUGAUGGUGGCUCAUGUUGCUGUUGGUUGCUAUGGGAGUGAACGAAGGGGGACGAAUGCAGAAAUGAAGACAAAGACAAAAAGAGUAUUUUUGGAAGAAGGGGUCAGGGGACUCCUUGCUUCUAGUGGGCAAGGGCCCUGAGCUUCUACAGCCCUUCAUAUUUAUUAGGUAGAAAGAGCAGGGAGGGAGAGGUAACAGUUGGUCAGCUGCUUGAUUUAUCACAGGUACACAUAAUUGCUUCCUUUGUACAACAGGCUUCAGAUGUUACUAUAGAUAAUCACAAGGAACACUGCGCUUGGGGCAUGACUGCCCUCAGCAACCCUUCUGGCGGCAGACACAGUUGUUAGUUUUCCAACAUCCUGCUUUCAUGAGAACAGUUUUCUGUUUGCUCAUAUAGCCUUCAGUGGUAUACUGAGUUGGUCACGACCUUCAUUCUUUCGGCCUGUAACAUCUCCCCAUUUUUGUUUUUGCAUUAAUUGAAUAAAGGUAAUUGCAGGUUGUGCAGCUCUCAAUUGCCGUUUGGUGGUCCAGCUGAUUUUGCAGACUGUUAACAAAAAACAAAAAUAUAAUAACAUUAAUCCCAUAGUUACAAAAAAGACAUUGAGAUGCUAUUUGAAGUAGGUCCCAGGGUUAAGGCUGUCUAAACCUUGCUGGAAUUCUGCCCAAGCUUUUAAAGAGGGCUGAAACGCUUGAGUCUGCUUAUUCAAGUUAAGGAUUUUACUUUGUAAAUCAUUAAUAUCAAAAGUAACAUUGAAUGUGAAAGCUCCCUGUAAAUGGGCUUUUACAAGGCUCAAUGGAUAUUCACUUUGGUUAUAUACCAAAUUGGUCACACAAAUAUGAGUAUGAUUAAAAUGACAACGCAUUGCUGCUGCAACUGCAAACUUUGUACUUGUUCCCCUAGCCAUAGAACAGUAGUCUUUAACAUUGCCACCUCUGUUUGUAUUUCGGUGUUAAUUUUAUUUUGAAGCAUCCAUGCCUGGUCGACUGUGCAUGUCCAGUUUUCCACAUAUUGAGCUGUUUGAAUGGAGCUGUGCGUUGCUGCUGAGGACAACACAACAGAGGUUAUUAAUGUAACUAAGGAGACUAUAACAAAAAUUAUCAUGCCUAAGGCUCUAUGAGCACGAUGAGUAAGCGGAGUAAAAAGGAGUUUCAUAAGAUGUAAAGCGGGGGUGGCUGCCCAAGGCUAAGAUAAAUUUACAGGAAUUCAUAAUCCAGGAACAUGACCUAGAAUUGUUAGGGUGGAUAUGUCAUGUGUUUGUAUUGUGCUAUGAUUAAGGCAAUGAUACAGUUGACAGGAAUCACAAGUCAAUUGGGCAUCAUCUACCUGGAGGUGGGUUUUUUUUGCUGCUAAGAAAAUAUAAGGAUUAAAAACAAAUUGUAAAUUGAGUGGUAAUAUUUUCUACAAGGGUAACAUUAAAACUGUGUUUAGCACAAUUACUAUUAUUGGAUAGUGUCCCAAUCCAAAUGCUGCCAUUCAUAAAUGGGAGUGCUGCUUUCCAUAUUGACUCCUGAAUUGGACCUCUCUUUCCUUGAUAAUGCCAUUGAGGCAAAGGUGAGCUAAAGCAUGUGCUGUGUCAAGCAAUUUGGGCAGCAGAUUGAGAUUGAAUUGCAAUGUGAUGUAGUGGGAGAUGUUAAAGUUUUGCCACCAGUUCCAGCAAAGUUAAUGCCAUGAGGUCUGAUGCUCAUGUCUCCCAACCAAAUGACCAUGGGGACCCCAGUAAAUAAUGUCUCCCAUUAGCAUGGACUGUUGUCUAGCUAGGGAGCUAAGACACGGGGUCCAAGGAGGGGGGUUAGAAUUAUCAAAGGGAGCCCAUUCUAUAUAAUUAAUACAAUUUGGGUGAUGGGGCCGGGAGUGAUUAGUAACUACACCAGUAAUAUUAGUAGAACUAAGGCCCAAUAGGUACGUAAAUUUUCCAUGGUAACUCAACCAUGCCUGGGAUUGAAUUGCAAGGCAACUGCAGUUGAGCAGUGUAUCCUGGGUGAUGCAUAAAGAAAGGCCCUCCAAUGGAGUGGUAUAAUUGAUACCAUUGUUCUGAGAGUCUAAUUGCUCUGUGUCAGGGGGAGUUAAGGGUCCCGGUGCCCAUGCUCCUUGAUCAUGAUAUAUCUCAGGAGGAGUGUCACCCCGGUCAUACUACCGGGGGGUUAGGAACAUAAGCCCAAUAUGUUUUUGCCUCUGCACAGGGAAAACAUAGCACACAGGAUAUCAUAGCUAGCAUGGCCAUAAACAUGGAGUCAGGGGUUUUUGCCUGACCCUGAUGCUCCAGCAGUUUCUCAUCUUCUUGUGUGGUUUUCUUGAUCUGUAAAACACAAGCAUACCCUCAUCCCCAUGUCAGUAAAUCUACCAGGCCUUUCCAUUGUCCUUCUUCCAGGGAUUUCCAUAAUACUUUUGGGUAAACUUUCCUUUUUCCCUCUAACAUUUGCCAGUGUCAUUCUACCGGAGUCUUAUUAUCUGUACCAGGAGUUAAAAAAUUUAAAGUAAAUAAUGCUAAAUGUAGUAUUGUUUGAGGUGGUAACUGGUCUCCUAUACCUCCUUUUUGUUUUUUCAGCGCAUGUUGUAAUGUUUGAUGUGCCUGCUCUAUAAUUCCUUGUCCUCGAGGGUUAUAAGGAAUUCUUGUUUUGUGAGUGACUGCCUAUAACUGUAAACAAUUUUGAAAAGCAUGACUAACUUAAGCAGGUCCAUUGUCAGUUUUUAAUUGUUUAGGGACCCUCAUAUCGGCAAAUGACAACAGACAAUGUCAUUGGACAUGGCCAGCUGUUUCACCUGUUUGACAUGUAGCAUGCAGCAUAUGAGAAUAAGUGUCUAUAGUCAUAUGAACAUAGCUAAGUUUGUCAAAGGCUGCUAUAUGUGUAACAUCAAUUUGCCAGAUUUCAUUUGGAGCUAAGCCUCGUGGGUUACAUCCUUCUACCGGUAUAACACCAGGGACAUGCUGACAAGUGGGGCAGGCUUGCACAAUAGCUCGAGCCUGGCUUCGAGGCAGAUGAAACAUACAAGUAAGGGCAGAGGUGUUUUGAUGCAGUAAUGCAUGAGAGGCUUCAGCUUGCUGAAACACAGAACCAAUCAAUUUAUCUGCUCUAUCAUUACCUAGAGGUAGUGGUCCAGGAAGUUGUGUGUCAGAGCGAAUAUGAGAAAUUUGAAAAGGAGCAGCAUGAGAGCAAACAGCUCGCUGAAGUCUUAGAAACAAGUUAAACAGCUCUGGUUCUAGGGUGCUUUUAAUAGUAGCAGUCUCAAUGCGACUGGCUACAUUUACAACAUAGGCUAAAUCACAGACAAUAUUAAUAGGAGAGGAAGCAGUGAGCUGUAAAACCUGAAUAACUGCCAUUAAUUCUGAGCAUUGAGCUGAAACACCAGGGAUUUUUAUUGUUUUAAUAUGCUUAGGUCCAUAAAUAGAUGCUCAGACUUUGGAAGAGCCGUCAGUGAAAUAAGUCUGGCCACCUGGAAUAGGCUUGUGAUGAGUAAUCACAGGGAGGAUAAAAGGGUAAACUUUAUAAAAUUGCAAAACUUUGUCUGAUGGAUAAUGAUUAUCUAUUAUUCCUUUGCUUCAGCCAACAUCGUAGAGCGAUGAAGCUCAGUUCCCACAUCCUGACAAGCUUUGAUAAAAUUUCCUAAGCUUUUUAUACAUCUCACAGAUGCCAAUGCAUGUUUACAGUCCGUGUUUGCAUUCUCAAAAGCUAGUUAAGGUUAGCAUUUCUGUAGCCAUGGUAAGAGAAAUCUGACACUUCACUGCCUAUGGUAAUCUUGCAAGAAAAUGUGCAUAGAGCUCCUGUGACCCUUUCAUGAUAUGUAAGAGAUUGUACUGGGACCCUUUCCUCUGGAAUUGUGGCCCAGGUGCGUUUAACAGCCAAGGCACACUGCUUACAAGCAGCGUCUGGGAGUGCUAUUUGAUGUUCUAGGUCUGAAUAGGGGCCACUGCCUAACAGCAUCCUCUGUAAUGUCUCUGUGUCCAGCAGCACGAUUCUAUCUAGCCUGGUCUGCACACAGUUCUUGCCAAUUUAAAUACCAUAUCAGGUAUGCACUAGCAGACAAACAAGUGCAAGCCAAAUGCUUUACAUCAAAGGGUGGAAGGCGCAUAGCGCCAAAUAGAUUCUAGCAGUCCUAAAGUAAAUGGGCUUUGUAUUCCAUUAUUAACUACACUAGCUUUUAAUUCCUUCAGCAACUUAAAUUCUAGUGGGGUGUGUUCAUGAAUAAACUGCUGUGGAUUAUGUGGAUCAGGCCUUACGGAAAUAGGAAAAGCUCAAGGUCCUAAGGGUUCUCCAGCCAUAGCAGUAGAGUGUAAAGUUCUUUGUAUUGGGGUCUCUAUUUCUGCUACUGAAGGAGGCGGUUCAGAUGUUUCUGCUACUAGAGGGGGUGACACAGGCCAAUUUUCAUCCUCCUGCUCCUGUUUAUUAUUUUUAAUUGGCGCUGUUGAGAGAACAGAAAGAUUCUUUCAAAUUUUUUGACUCUGAACAUGACUCCUGCUGUCUAGCAGAAUAAGAAAUGAAUAAUGGCAGGAUGAACUAAACUCCAAAUAUAAAAAAGAAAAUAGCCAAAUUCUUCCCCCAUGUUACCCUGAUUCAGAAACUUCCCGUUCCCAGUACCUCUUUAGGGCACUGACCUUAUAUUAGCUGUCAGCAGACUCGUCGCAGGGUUUCUCAUUCUCGUUCUUCUUGUCAGUGUCAGUUUCUCUGCUCCAGCAGACCUUCACUCACGUCCCUGUCCUAGGUGCCAGUUGUCGCUGUUGGUUGUUAUGGGAGUGAACGAAGGGGGAUGAAUGCAGAAACGAAGACAAAGACAAAAAGUAUUUUUGGAAGAAGGGGUCAGGGGGCUCCUUCUAGUGAGCAAGGGCCCUGAGCUUCUACAGCCCUUCGUAUUUAUUAGGUAGAAAGAGCAGGGAGGGAGAGGUAGCAGUUGGUCAGUUGCUUGAUUUAUCACAGGUAUACAUAAUUGCUUUCUUUGUACAACAGGCUUCAGAUGUUCCUAUAGAUAAUCACAAGGAACACUGUGCUUGGGGUGUGACUGCCCUCAGCAACCCUUCUGGCAGCAGACACAGUUGUUAGUUUUCCAACAUCCUGCUUUCAUGAGAACAGUUUUCUAUUUGCUCAUAUAGCCUCCAGUGGUAUACUGAGUUGGUCACGACCCUCAUUCUUUCGGCCUGUAACAGGCUCAUGCCUGUAAUGCCAGCACUUUUGGAGGCCGAGGCAAGAGGAUAGCUUGAGCUCAGGAGUUGGAGACCAGCCUGGGCAACACGGUGAAACCCCAUCUCUGCAAAAAUUAGCCUGGUGUGGUGGGGUGCGCCUGUAGUCUCAGCUGCUUGUGGGGCUGAGGCGGGAGAAUAGCUUGAGCUCCAGGGGUCGAGGCUGCAGUGAGCCAUAAUGGUGCUGCUGCAUUCCAGCCUGGGUGACAAAGUGAGACUAUCUCAAAAAAAAAAACGGCUGUUAGAUAAAAAUGAAGACAAACAACAUUUGCAAGGAUAUAAAUCUUAACCCAUUUAUUGGGGGUAUAGGCUCUGGUGUCAGAUUUCCAUCUGUCCUGUAUUUUGUAACCACAAAAUUGUCCUGGCUGGAUUAAUUGUAAGGAAGUCCCUUUAAACACAUCUAGACUUCCAAAGUUUGUUUACAUACUAAUUAGUUGUCAUGAAAAGCUGCAUUCAACCCAGGGUCUGAGAUGCCUUUUGUAUAUGAAAAGUGCUUCUCUUUCUGACACUGACUGAAUUACAUACAUAACAGAUUCAUUUAUUUAAAAACAAUUUAAGAGGCUUUUUCUAUAAUGCUGAACCUGCUGUGUGGUAUUUAUGUUUAAUUCUGGUCAAAUUUUCAAAACUAAUAAACACUGCAAUUCAAAACCAUUAAUUAUCAAGCAUAGACCAAGUAUCUGAGGUUAUGAGCACAUAUUUAAGAGGUUAGACUCUGGCAUUCCAGACAUUGCAAAUAAUACUUUUCUCAUUUCUAAAUUUCCUAGAAACAAGUGGAGAUUUGUAAAAGGAAAUAAUACUCUUUAAAACAUUUAUUUUUGACUCAGGAUCUGGCUCUGUUGCCCUAGCUAGAGUGCAGUGGUGCCAUCAUCACAGCUCACACAAUAGCCUGGAACUACUGGGCUCAAACCAUCCUCCCACCUCAGCCUCCCAAGUAGCUGGGACUGCAGAUGCAGGCCAUCAUGUCCCGCUAAGUUUUAUUUUAUUUUUGUAGAGACAGAGUCUAUGUUGCUCAGGCUGGUCCUGAACUCCCGGCAUCAAGUGAUCCUCCCACCUCCCAAUAAAACAUGUACUGAUGGCCAGGCACUUGGCUCACGCCUGUAAUCCCAGCACUUUGGGAGGCCGAGGCGGGCAGAUCAUGAGGUCAAGAGAUCAAGACCAUUCUGGCCAACAUGGUGAAACCCUGUCUCUACUAAAAAUACAAAAAUUAGCCAGGUGUGGUGGCACGCGCCGGUAGUCUCAGCUACUCCGGAGGCCGAGGCAGGAUAAUUGCUUGAACCCCAGAGGCGGAGGUUGCAGUGAGCCGAGAUCGUGCCACUGCACUCCAGCCUGGCGACAGAGCAAGACUCUGUCUCAAAAAAAAAAAAAAAACCAAAAACCAAAAAAUCAAAACCAAAACCAUGUAUUGAUAUCAAAGUUUUUUUAUCCUGGCAGGGCACAGUGGCUCACGCCUGUAAUCCCAGCACUUUGGGAGGCUGAGGCAGGUGGAUCACGAGGUCAGGAGUUCAAGACCAGCCUGGCCAAGAUGGUGAAGACCCGUCUCUACUAAAAAUACAAAAAUUAGCCAGGCGCAGUGGCAGGCGCCUGUAAUCCCAGCUACUCGGGAGGCUGAGGCAGGAGAAUCGUUUGAAACCAGGAGGGUAGAGGUUGCAGUGAGCCAAGAUUGUGCCACUGUACUCCAGCCUGGGUGACAGAGUGAUACUAUGUCUCAAAAAAAAAAAAAAAAAAAAAAGAAAAAGAAAAAAGAAAGAAAGUUGCUUUAUCUUUAAAACUAUAUAUAUUGUUUUCACCCCUACAUAGUCCUUGCCUCCCAGACAUCUCCUCACUAACGUCAGUAGACAAUUUGGCAUCUGAUGGUUUGAAAUAGUUUCUGUAAUCAAAUCCUGAAUAAAAUCCAUUUUAAAGCCUAUAGAGAGUUAAGAAACAAGUAUAAAAAUUUGUUGAAGUGUUUAUUGAACGAACAUAAUACAUUUGUCUGAGAAGAGAUACGCACACUAAAGUCCCCUACAAGCAACUAAUGGGAAAAGAUCACACAGGUAACUCCAAUUUUUAAAAAUAUGAUCAUGAAAGAUAAUUGUAGUUGGUGUUUAUGGAGCAUCUUUUGGAGGGGGGGGAACCCCCAACAACUCUACAAAUUGAGAUCCAGAACAGAGAAAGUCAUCAGGUGAAAUGCCAAGACCAAAAAACUUAUUUUAUUUGAAUUCCAUUUUCUGAGAAGAAAACUAGUAUUGCAGCAGAGUCAUUUAAUGAAAACUUAACAGUUUCACUGAGGAUUCAGAUAUCCGUUGACAUGUACAUGACAAUCUUUAGAUUAAAUCAUAAAAAGUUGACUGUCUCCAAGAAAUUGUUAUUUCACAAAUUUAUCUAUUUUAAAUAUAACACUGAAGUUAUUACAUAAACACUGACGUCAAAAUCAUGCCAGAGCAGUGUUACUAUUUUUACAUGUAUAUGAGUAUUCAUGACCUUUAAUGUCUGGACACAUUCUAGGUCACAGAACAGAAGCAAAUUUUCACUUUUGUGUGUUUUUGGUACAGUGACAUGUCUGGUUCCUUUUGAGCUAGAUAUAUCUGCUUAAAUAAUUAACACUAUUGGAUAUUAGUCCCUCAAAGUAAAUGUCUAUUUUACCUGGUAUUCUAGGAAGAGAGAGAGAAAGAAAAUAACCAAAGAAAUGUGACUGCAAUCUAAUUUCCAAGAGAGAAACUCUACUUCUGAAUACUGGCCCCAUACUGCAUAUUUUAUGAAUAUUUUUCUCACAACUUUUCUUAAAACUUAAGUUCUCUCUUAGGAAUGUCUUUAGUUAGGUCUUACAAAGAAACUGUUUAAUACACAAUGUUAACAUCUACUAGGCAAAAGAUGCUUGCUUCUCUUCCCACAAAAGCCAAACAGAAAACACAAAGUGUUACUAACGUUUUCUAUUUAUUCAUUAAUAAAAAGUGCAUAGUACAAGCCCUUUAUCCCAAUCCAAGUACUCAGAAAAAGAUUAACAACAGACCCUGGAUGGCACAGACAUAAUUUGUUUGGCGUGAUUUAAACAUAUAAAAUCAGUAAUUAACAUUUAGCAUAUCACACGACCACUUUUGCUUUUAACAAACUAAUCUUCACACAUGGUAACAAAUACCUAUGAUUUUUCAUUUAGAAAUAUUAUAAGAAGACUAAACUUACUAUUGCAACAACAAAAAUUUAACCCAUUAAACUAGAAACUCUCUUCAUUUUUCCUUCUUCAAAUUACUGUUUUGUGUCUUAAACUGAGUUGGUCAAAUUUGAGCACAUAAUUCAUGUAGAGUGACAGACUUUCAUUUAGAGUGAUAGACUUCCAAGGUUCCUUUGAAAAUUUAAGAUACUGGUAAUUCCAUAAACACUCCCACACCACAUACCACAAAAACACUAAAAGUAGCCAUAGAAUAGCUGUAUUCAAUAAUUAUUUUGGAAAAUCCACAUUAUGAAAUAUGACUUGCUGACCAUGGAACAGUGCUUGGAUAGAUAACAUGAAAAAAAUGAAAAACAUCUUUUUUUUUUUUUUUUUGAGACGGAGUUUCACUCUUGUUGCCCAGGCUGGAGUGCAAUGGCGUGAUCUUGGCUCACUGCAACCUCCACCUCCCAGGUUCAAGUGAUUCUCCUGCCUCAGCUUCCCAAGUAGCUGGGAUUACAGGCAUGUGCCACCACACCAGGCUACUUUUGUAUUUUUAGUGGAGAUGGAGUUUUUCCAUGUUGGCCAGGCUGGUCUCGAACUCCUGACCUCAGGUGAUCCAGCUCCCUCGGUCUCCCAAAGUGUUGGGAUUACAGGCAUGAGCCACCGUGCCCAGCCUGAAAAAAAUCUUUUACUAGAAACAGUUCCAAUGUUAACUUUUCCCACAUGGAAAGCAAAACAAAACAAAACAAAACAAACAAACAAAUGCAACAAAACAACCUCCCACUAUUAUUGUGCAUAAAAACACAUUAAAUGACUCUAAAACAAAAUAAACUUUUUUUUUUUUGGUAGAGACAGGGUCUUGCUAUGUUGCCCAGGCUAGUCUCAAACUCCUGGGCUCAAGCAGUUCUUGCCUCAGCCUCCCAAAUUGCUGGGAUUACAGGCAUGAGCCACCAUGACUGGCCUAAAACAAAAUAAAUUCUUAAUGGCAUUUGUGGAAUGUGUUUAAGAGCCAAAACUGUGAAAAUGUAAGCUUUAUCUUUCUUUUUUCCUAGAUUAUUUAAAGAGGAUUGUAGCCACACUUCAGAUGAAUGUUUACAAGCCAAAUAAUGAUUUAAGAGUGUGCUCAAUAAAAAGGCCAUAGGUUUAAGAAUUAAAUGGAAUAAUAUAAAUUACUAGGUCAACAAGAAUAUUUCAUGUAUAGUACACUGUCUAAGGAAUGCAGAGAAAUUUUACAAGAAACCCAAGACUAAAUACUUCAUUAAGAACACUGGUUACUAAGUAAAUAGAUGGCUCAUGUAGGAAAAAGCUAAUAUAUGUAGAUGUAAUGUCAACUAAGUGCAUGUGACAGAAAUGAAGAACUAGGAAUAAGAAUCCAGAUUUUCUGGCCAGGCACGGUGGCUCACAUCUGUAAUCCUAGCACUUUGGGAGGCCAUAGUGGGUGGAUCACCUGAGGUCAGGAGUUUGAGACCAGCCUGGCCUACAUGGCGAAACCCCAUCUCUACUAAAGAUACAAAAAUUAGCUGGGCGUGGUGGUGGGCACUUAUAAUCCCAGCUACUCAGGAGGCUGAGGAAGGAGAAUCGCUCGAACCUGGGGGUGGAUGUUGCAGUGAGCCAAGGUCGCGCCACUUCACUCCAGCUUGGGCGAAAGAGCAAAACUCCAUCUCAAAACAACAACCAAAAAGAAUCCAGAUUUUUAGGUGUCUAAUACUAGACAUUCUGUAUCCAAGUUUCAGCCAUUUCAUCCAAUAAAGCCUUCUAAAGCCUUUUUUUUUUGAGACAGGGUCUCACUCUGUCACUCAAGCUGGAGUGCAGUGGCGUGAUCUUGGCUUACUGCAACCUGUCUCCCAGGCUCAAGCGAUUCUCCUGCCUCAGCCUCCCGAGUAGCUAAGACUACAGGCCGUGUCACCAAACCCGGCUAAUUUUUUGUAGGCACGGGGUUUCACCGUCUUGGCCAGGCUGGUCUCAACCUCCUGACCUCAAGUGAUCCACCUGCCCCAGCCUCCCAAAGUGCUGGGAUUACAGGCAUGAGUCACUGCGCCCAGCUCCCAAAGCCAAUUUUCAAUUAUUUGUGAGCCAUAGAUUCAGUGACUACAUCAAUAUCUCUUGCCAGGGAUUGGCCUAACAGCUCAGAGAACAGAUUGUUAGGAUAUAUGGGCAAGCCUUCUAAGUUCAAGAGGCAAGAGCAGAAAAUGGAAUGCUAUAGGGAUUUAGCUCCAUCUUAAGCCAUUCUGGCCCUUUCUGCUCUACUUUACCAGCUAUAGAGUUAGGAAGGCUUCCAGUAGGCCACAGCAAGAGGAAAAACCUUUAUUCUGUGGGGCUCAUUUAUCCAGGAUUUAACUUACCUGUGUCAUGUUACCGAUCUAUUAACACAAGUAAUUUAGAGUUGGUUAUAUUAUUUCAAGAAAUUGAGCACAAAGCCAGGAUGUACAAGGAGGAAUUCAAACAAUCAAUAUUGGAUUAUAUAAUGAAAAGAUGCCCUUACAAUGUUUAUGAUCUAGAAUGUAAUCAUAAUAAAGGGGGGAAAAUACCUUAUGAGUAUCACAAUUGUAUCAGAGACUAUUAAACAGUACAAUGAUACAGAGAAUUUAUUCAAUUCAUACAAGUAAUUUACCAGAUCUAAACAGUGAAUAGACUGACCUAAGGGGAAAAAAAUCCUUACAUUGAUAGCAAAAUAUCUUCUAGCCCCCAUAAAUAAUCUGCAAUCAUUUGCUAGGAAAAAAACUUCAUAACCAUAUGGGUCAUGCAGACAUUUUUAUUUAUUUAUUUAUUUUGAGACAGAGUCUCGCUCUGUCGCCCUGAUUGGAGUGCAGUGGCACGAUCUCAGCUUACUGCAACCUCCGUCUCCCAGGUUCAAGCAAUUUCCUGCCUCAGCUUCCCCAGUAGCUGGGAUUAUAGGCACACACCACCAUGCCUGGCUAAUUUUUGCAUUUUUAGUAGAGAUAAGGUUUCACCAUGUUGGUCAGGCUGGUCUCGAACUCCUGACCUCAGGUGAUUCGCCUGCCUCGGCCUCCCAAAGUGCUGGGAUUACAGGCGUGAGCCACCGUGCCCAGCCCAUGCAGACAUUUUUAAGUGCUAUUGGUAUUCACUUUAUUUCAAACUGAGCAAAACAAUACAACCUUUUACUUUUUUAUACAUUUUAAAAUUUCUCUCAUAUUAACAUUCCUUCCUACCCCAAUCCAUCCCAUCACCAAACAGGAAUGAGAUAAGGAGUGAAAAAAAGAUGUAUGUUUCUCAUUUUCCUUCUUUUCCCUUGAAGUAAACCAGUAAUUUAUUAAAAUAUUUUAUAGGUCAGAGGAUAACAAAAGACUCAAUGUAGUAAAUAAGUAAAUAGGCAUUCAAAUAUCAGUAACCUAACAGGCCCUAAUACAGCUUUAAGAUUUUCUUCUUUUUUUUUUU
rnacentral:lncRNA from 1 species